GGGGAUGCAAGGCAUAGACAGAGGGCAAAAGGCCGAAGAUGCAUGCCGAGAAUGAACGCAAACUCGCUAAAAUUCGUUCAAAGUCUAAUUGCAAAAUUAGCUUCCAAGGUGAAAGCGUCCGUCUCUCCAUACUUCGGUAUGAAUGACUUUGCUUUCGCUCAAGUUUCCGCUUCGGCGUAAGCUUGUGUCUCUCCCGCGGACUUCCGAUACGUGGGCGGGGGCAUAAAAUUAUCGGGAUAAGGAAAUGUUCGCUCGCGCAUUUUUCGAAAAUAAAGAGCUCGGUUGAAAAAUAUUUCGCCCGCUUAAGAAUUUUUCAACUUAAAAAACAAAGGCGCGCUAUGUAUGUAGAUUUCUUAGCUGAUUCCUUCUGCACGGGGGCUCAAUUCCCCCCAUCUCCACAA
rnacentral:tmRNA from 1 species